GCUGGCGCCGUGCCUAAUAAUGCUUCCAGCGGAAGGAAAAGAGCUUGCUCCUUCCCUUAGCGGGGGAAAGGUGAGUAACACGUGGGUAACCUGCCUGUAAGACUGGGUUUUCCCCGGGAAACCGGGGCUAAUACCGGAUGGUUGUCUGAACCGCAUGGUUCAGACAUAAAAGGUGGCUUCGGCUACCACUUACAGAUGGACCCGCGGCGCAUUAGCUAGUUGGUGAGGUAACGGCUCACCAAGGCGACGAUGCGUAGCCGACCUGAGAGGGUGAUCGGCCACACUGGGACUGAGACACGGCCCAGACUCCUACGGGAGGCAGCAGUAGGGAAUCUUCCGCAAUGGACGAAAGUCUGACGGAGCAACGCCGCGUGAGUGAUGAAGGUUUUCGGAUCGUAAAGCUCUGUUGUUAGGGAAGAACAAGUGCCGUUCAAAUAGGGCGGCACCUUGACGGUACCUAACCAGAAAGCCACGGCUAACUACGUGCCAGCAGCCGCGGUAAUACGUAGGUGGCAAGCGUUGUCCGGAAUUAUUGGGCGUAAAGGGCUCGCAGGCGGUUUCUUAAGUCUGAUGUGAAAGCCCCCGGCUCAACCGGGGAGGGUCAUUGGAAACUGGGGAACUUGAGUGCAGAAGAGGAAAGUGGAAUUCCACGUGUAGCGGUGAAAUGCGUAAAGAUGUGGAGGAACACCAGUGGCGAAGGCGACUCUCUGGUCUGUAA
rnacentral:rRNA from 1 species